rnacentral:rRNA from 1 species
CCUUUGUUGCCCGUGAUUCGGUCGGGAAUUCAAAGGAGACUGCCGGUGAUAAACCGGAGGAAGGUGGGGAUGACGUCAAGUCAUCAUGGCCCUUACGGCCAGGGCUACACACGUGCUACAAUGGUGCAUACAAAGAGAAGCGACCUCGCGAGAGCAAGCGGACCUCAUAAAGUGCGUCGUAGUCCGGAUCGGAUUUUGCAACUCGACUCCGGAAAGUCGGAAUCGUUAUUAAUGGUAGAUCAGAAUGCUACGGUGAAUACGUUCCCGGGCCUUGUACACCCCACCGGUCCCCCCAUGGGAGUGGGUUGCAAAAGAAGUAGGUAGGUAACCU